rnacentral:lncRNA from 1 species
UUGAAAUCCUAACCCCAAGGCGAUGGUAUUAGGAGGUGGGAUUUUAGGGAGGUGAUUAGGUCACUAAAGCAGAGCCCUCAUGAAUGUGAUUAGUGCCCUUAUGAGACAAGACCCCAGAGAGCUUGUUCACGCUUCCCAUCAUGUGAGUACACAGCAAGAUGGUGCUGUCUAUGAACCAGGCAGAGGGCUGUCAUCGAGAACCAAGUUUACUAUGCCUUGAUCUUGGGACUUCGAGCCUCCAGAAUGAGAAAAACACUGAAGAACUGUGUGGGCUGCCUUUGAGGAUGAAGCAGAUGUCUGCCAAGAUCUGUUUCCAUUCUGAGGAGCACAAGCUAAACAUCAGCCUCUUCACUCCUCAUUUACACCCUUACCCUGAGUCGAUCCAUCAAGACCCUCCACUGAGAGGGACAAAUUAUAAUGAUCUUUGUAUGAGGCAGUUUGAACUUGCCUUCCUGUUGCUUGUAAACUAAGUCGCAACCCAAGCUACUGAGAAAUCUCUGCACGUCGGAUAUUUUUCUCCUAAUUGAUAAGAAAGUGCUCAAAAAUAGAACUGUC